GGAGCUUGAGGGUGAUCUGGCUGCGACAUCUGUCACCUCAUUGAUCUCCAGAGUUGAUUUGACUGAUCUGGAUCUCUAGGCGGGUGUCCCCUUCCUCCCUCAUGGCUCCAUGUGCGUCCCUCCCGAAGCUGCACACUUGCACUCACUUGAAGAGGACGGCCUUCCCCAAAUAGAGACAGACCGGUCUUCAGUCUAGGGUAUACGAGUAGCUGCACUCCCCAGCUAUAACCUCCAAACAAGCUCUCAGUGAUAUAUAUAUAUGCAUAUAUUAUAUAUACAUAUAUUAUAUACAUAUAUAUAU
rnacentral:snRNA from 1 species